rnacentral:lncRNA from 1 species
GAGGAGCCAAGCGGGAGGGAGGCGCGCGCGCGCGAGAGAAACAGAACGCUGCCGGCGCGGAGUGGAGGCUACGCCAGGUUCCGGACUCUGGUGCCUGGAGGAGACCACCAAAGGAAAUGAUCCAUCACCAUCUCCUGAGAAGUAAGCGAGGAUUGCCCUUGAGAGAGGUACACCUAGGGAAAAGUCCCAAUGAUUCCAGUGCCUUCCACCUAAGAAAAUGACUUCCCCAAGUUGGACAGCCUCAAGGAGGAGAGCCUCCCUAAAUGUUUCAGGGGCGUCUGCUCUGCCUCCUGCAUUCCCAUGUGUAGCCUUGUUGACAAGCACAGACCAGCAUGAUGACCCCGUGAUGAGGGAGGUGUGUGCAAAUUAUGAUCCUCUCCUUAAAUAUAUCAUCCAAGAAAGUUUAUCUUGUACAUUUUAUAUGUAUAUGUUUAAAUAAACAUGAUUAAACC